rnacentral:rRNA from 1 species
GACGAACGCUGGCGGCGUGCCUAAUACAUGCAAGUCGAGCGGACCAAAGGGAGCUUGCUCCUGGAGGUUAGCGGCGAACGGGUGAGUAACACGUGGGCAACCUGCCUGUAAGACUGGGAUAACAUCGAGAAAUCGGUGCUAAUACCGGAUAAUAAAAAGAACUGCAUGGUUCUUUUUUGAAAGAUGGUUUCGGCUAUCACUUACAGAUGGGCCCGCGGCGCAUUAGCUAGUUGGUGAGGUAACGGCUCACCAAGGCGACGAUGCGUAGCCGACCUGAGAGGGUGAUCGGCCACACUGGGACUGAGACACGGCCCAGACUCCUACGGGAGGCAGCAGUAGGGAAUCUUCCGCAAUGGACGAAAGUCUGACGGAGCAACGCCGCGUGAGUGAUGAAGGUUUUUCGGAUCGUAAAACUCUGUUGUUAGGGAAGAACAAGUGCCGUUCGAAAGGGCGGCACCUUGACGGUACCUAACGAGAAAGCCACGGCUAACUACGUGCCAGCAGCCGCGGUAAAGUA